UCCAGGGCUAGCUCAGUUGGUAGAGCAUGCAACUCUGAAUCGCAGGGUCAUGAGUUCAAGUCUCAUGUGGAG
rnacentral:tRNA from 1 species